AGCGGUAACAGAUCUAGCUUGCUAGGAUGCUGACGAGCGGCGGACGGGUGAGUAAUGCAUAGGAAUCUGCCCGAUAGUGGGGGAUAACCUGGGGAAACCCAGGCUAAUACCGCAUACGUCCUACGGGAGAAAGGGGGCUCCGGCUCCCGCUAUGGGAUGAGCCUAUGUCGGAUUAGCUAGUUGGUGAGGUAACGGCUCACCAAGGCCACGAUCCGUAGCUGGUCUGAGAGGAUGAUCAGCCACAUCGGGACUGAGACACGGCCCGAACUCCUACGGGAGGCAGCAGUGGGGAAUAUUGGACAAUGGGGGAAACCCUGAUCCAGCCAUGCCGCGUGUGUGAAGAAGGCCCUCGGGUUGUAAAGCACUUUCAGCGAGGAAGAACGCCUAGCGGUUAAUACCCGCUAGGAAAGACAUCACUCGCAGAAGAAGCACCGGCUAACUCCGUGCCAGCAGCCGCGGUAAUACGGAGGGUGCAAGCGUUAAUCGGAAUUACUGGGCGUAAAGCGCGCGUAGGUGGCUUGAUAAGCCGGUUGUGAAAGCCCCGGGCUCAACCUGGGAACGGCAUCCGGAACUGUCAAGCUAGAGUGCAGGAGAGGAAGGUAGAAUUCCCGGUGUAGCGGUGAAAUGCGUAGAGAUCGGGAGGAAUACCAGUGGCGAAGGCGGCCUUCUGGACUGACACUGACACUGAGGUGCGAAAGCGUGGGUAGCAAACAGGAUUAGAUACCCUGGUAGUCCACGCCGUAAACGAUGUCGACCAGCCGUUGGGUGCCUAGCGCACUUUGUGGCGAAGUUAACGCGAU
rnacentral:rRNA from 1 species